UAACGUCUGCCUGACGCAUGUCUAGCAUCCCAGCGCAUCCAGAGGUUGAAGCAGGAGGACUGGCAGCUCCAGCCCAACCUGGGCAACUUCUCAGCGUAGUGAGCUGAUGAAUUCAACCCCGAGUUAACUCUGCAUCACACGGCUGCAUCUCACAGUCGUUUUUGUUCUCUGGUGCUGGCUGCCUUACCAAUACUUCGUGGUCCUCAGUAUAAUCAAGUUCCUAAAGAAUAGAAUCCUAGAGCGGAGAGUGGUUCCUGGAGACGAUCUGCUGGAGGUGAUCUGCUGCACCGUCUGUGGGCGAUGCCUGGGUUAUCACAGGCAGGUGACGGCUAAGCUUUUCCUAUUAACUGCAUUCUCACGGCGGAGUCAAGAGAAGCCCUGGGUGCUCAAAGUUCCAAGCAGAGCGGGAACCAGAUGUGGAUGGAGUGAGCCCUUCCUUCCAGGUUCUCUCUUUCCCUCUCACUGUUCUCUUCUUAUCAGAGUCCAGUUCAAGCCAAUUGCUCCCUCUCAGGCUUAGCCAAGGUUAUGCUAUCAAAUGGAAGUGUGUGAUAUCAACCUUAACUAUUGUGAAGAUUAAAGAAAACAUCUGCAAAAUGCCUAGCCAUGGACAUAAUUCGUGCACAUAACAGGGCCAGCGUAUGGAUGAGAUAUUAAUGGAGUUCUGAAGCCGAAGGAGACAAACUUAGGGGACCCGACAGCCCAACCCCGUCCUGGCGAUAUGCGUCUACCUGUCUGUUAUGAGCUCACUGUAACACAACUUUAC